AUUGAACGCUGGCGGCAGGCCUAACACAUGCAAGUCGAACGAGUGGCGGACGGGUGAGUAAUGUCUGGGAAACUGCCUGAUGGAGGGGGAUAACUACUGGAAACGGUAGCUAAUACCGCAUACCAUCAGAUGUGCCCAGAUGGGUUUAGCUAGUGGGUGGGGUAACGGUUCACCAAGGAAACGAUCCCUAGCUGGUCUGAGAGGAUGAACGGCCACACUGGAACUAAGACACGGUCAAGACUCCGACGGGAGGAAGCAGUGGGGAAUAUUGCACAAUGGGCGCAAGCCUGAUGCAGCCAUGCCGCGUGUAUGAAGAAGGCUUUCGGGUUGUAAAGUACUUUCAGCGGGGAGGCGUUACCCACAGAGGAAGCACCGGCUAACUCCGUGCCAGCAGCCGCGGUAAUAC
rnacentral:rRNA from 1 species